rnacentral:rRNA from 1 species
GCUGAACGCUGGCGGCGUGCAUAAUACAUGCAAGUCGAGCGAACAGAUGAGGCGCUUGCUCUUCUGUAGCUAGCGGCGGAAGGGCGAGCAACACGAGGCAAACCCAACUAUAAGAAUGGGAUAACUUCGGGAAACGGGCGCAAUAACCGGAUAAUGUAUUGAUCCGCUGGGUCAAAUAACGAUAGACGGUUUUGAUGUCACUUAUAGACGGACCCGAGUGGCAUUAGCUAGUUGGUAAGGUAACGGCUUACUAAGGGAACGAUGCCUAGCCCUCCUGAGAGGGUGAUCGGCCACACCGGAGCUGACACACCGUCCAGACACCGACGGGAUGCAUCAGUAGGGAAUCUGCCGCAAUCGUCGAGAUUCUCACGGAGCCACGGCACGUCAGUGGUGAAUGUCUUCGGAUCGUAAAACUCUGUUAUUAGCGAAGAACAAAUUUGUAAUUAACUAUGCACGUCUUGACGGUACCUAAUCAGAGAGCCGCCACGAACUACGU